AGAGUUUGAUCAUGCCUCCGAACGAACGCUGGCGGGGGGCCUUACACAUGCAAGUCGAACGAGAAUCUUGGAGACAAUCCCCCUCGGGGUGCGUUUUGGAGAGGAAAGUGGCGGACGGGCGAGUAACGCGUGAGUAACUGCCCAUAAGAGGGGGAUAAUCCAUGGAAACGUGGACUAAUACCGCAUAUUGUCAUUUUAUCGCAUGAUUUAAUGAUGAAAGAUUUAUCGCUUAUGGAUGGACUCGCGUCAGAUUAGAUAGUUGGUGGGGUAACGGCUCACCAAGUCGACGAUCUGUAGCCGAACUGAGAGGUUGAUCGGCCGCAUUGGGACUGAGACACGGCCCAGACUCCUACGGGAGGCAGCAGUGGGGAAUAUUGCGCAAUGGGGGCAACCCUGACGCAGCAACGCCGCGUGCAGGAAGAAGGUCUUCGGAUUGUAAACUGUUGUCGCAAGGGAAGAAGACAGUGACGGUACCUUGUGAGAAAGUCACGGCUAACUACGUGCCAGCAGCCGCGGUAAUACGUAGGUGACGAGCGUUGUCCGGAUUUACUGGGUGUAAAGGGCGCGUAGGCGGACUGUCAAGUCAGUCGUGAAAUACCGGGGCUUAACCCCGGGGCUGCGAUUGAAACUGACAGCCUUGAGUAUCGGAGAGGAAAGCGGAAUUCCUAGUGUAGCGGUGAAAUGCGUAGAUAUUAGGAGGAACACCAGUGGCGAAGGCGGCUUUCUGGACGACAACUGACGCUGAGGCGCGAAAGUGUGGGGAGCAAACAGGAUUAGAUACCCUGGUAGUCCACACCGUAAACGGUGGAUACUAGGUGUAGGAGGUAUCGACCCCUUCUGUGCCGC
rnacentral:rRNA from 1 species